rnacentral:lncRNA from 1 species
AAGCAUGAUCAAGAAAUGCCAAGAUUAUGAUGUCCUUACAUCACUAGAUAUGGCCUUUAGUUAGACCUAAUGGAAGGCAAAACAUCAUAAUGAUCGUUGUAUUUUGAAAAUUUAGGCUUCACAUAUCUUUAAAGUUAAUUUUUGCUCGCAUGGCAUUACCUGAAGGCUGUGGUGGGCCUUUGUAUAAGCAGAUUCUUUGAUUUGGCUGCAGCUUCACAUCUCUUUUCCAUGUGCAGUUUUUAUUUUUAAGGAUAAACAAUAAUUAUAUUUAUAAGAAAAGGGGGAGGGAAAGGAGAAACCCCACCGUCUCUCACAGAACUUGGGGGAUUGUUUAUUUUUUGUUUCUCUUUUUAAUAUAUAUAUAUAUAUGUAUAUUUUGGGUUAGAAACCAAGCUUUCACCGAAGAAAAUGGAAGAAUAUAUAAGGACAUACAAAAAACAAGUUCACAACUACCUACAAGAGUGAACUCCAAUCCAAAAGAAUGAUACUAAACUGAUAAUUACAGGUAGUCAGAUAGACAUACAGCCACAAUGAGACACUAAACCUCUUCCGUCCAAAGCUCCUCCAAAAACCUCUUCAUCCCUCUAAAAGCUGUACUGCUCCUCUCAAUCCACACUUCCCACGAAAUAGCUUUAGUCUGCCACAAGGUCCUGUCCUUAUUACGAAGCAGGGAGAGCGAGUUCAACACAUUCUCUUCAAACAAAGACUUCUAGAGGUUUUGUGGAUCGGUGACAGUGCUCUCCAGUCUUAAGAGUUCCUUGAAGAGAUAAAAAGAUCAAAACUUAGAUGUGUACAUAGCAAUUUAUUGAUUAAUUUAACUCAACUCUAUACUAAUAUUUAGUUUAUAUAAAAAUUUAAUUGGUUUUAGUAGCAGAAGAAAAAAAUCUACAUCACAUGCAUUGUUGUCCGUCUUGUUGAUUUUUUACCUUAAUUCACGCAUGUCAAAUACACCUUCAACUUUCUUACUAUAUUGCUAGAAUUACUUUUAACCAAGAUGUUCUCUUCGUUUGAUAAUUGAGCUGAAAUUGCUGACAUGAUUCCUUCCUUUCUUUUCUCAC